rnacentral:lncRNA from 1 species
ACCAUUUGAAAUUUGUCCCAUAAAAUUGAAAUGAUUUGUUAUAAUCAAAGUUAUUCGGCUCAAUAGUAUUCUCUGCGAAUGCUAUAGCAGCAUGAAACAUCUUAAAAUUGUUGUUUUUAUAGCUUGCAGCAAUUCUAAAUGGCACAAAAGAAUAAUUACAAGAUGAGUCACGACUAGGUUGCUCUCUUUAAGAUAUUUC